rnacentral:tRNA from 1 species
UUGUGGCCGAGUGGUUAAGGCGAUGGAUUGCUAAUAAUAAUCACAUUGCAACUAUCCAUUGCACUUUGUGCGCGUAGGUUCGAAUCCUAUCAUUG